UAUAUGUUAGAGCUUUCUUAGGGCCUACUACUGCCAGAAACCAAGUAUCUCCUGAAAUAUGAGUGAUGUGAAUGGAAAUACUAAACAUAAAUGCCAUUACUGGCCUCUGCCCCUACCCAAAAUAUCCACACCCACUUAAUUAAUUUUUAAAUCAAACUUGGGUAAUUAUUUCAUCACCCUGAAAGCAGUCAGCUUAAAAGCAUUUUGAGUCUAUAGCUAGCAGGUAGUUAUGUGCUAUUAAUUAAUCAUAUACUUUGGGAGAGUUAUUUUUUUUCUUGUACCCAUUUUACAGACAAAUUCACUUAACAAAAGAUGGGUGUAUUUUUUCUCCUCAGCUGCUGAAAGAUGCAGAAUGCAAAUCAGCAAAGGGGGAAUACCAUGCACUCCAUGACAAAGUACUAUGUUUGCAUCCUCCAAAAUGUCAAUACUUUAAUUAGAUACUAAAAGGCUAAUUUUCAAACAAACAUAUGGAAGAAAAUUAAAUAAAAAGGUAUUAGGAGAUCAUGUACCUCAAACUUAAAGCCUAAUUGACAGUGACACUGAAAUAGGUCACAGAAUAAGUUACUUAAAUGUAUUUUAUAACUUGUUUUAAGACUGCAUGCAUUUCCCAACCUACAAAAUUCUAAGUUACCCAAGAAAUAUGCCAGGUUUAUUUCAUGAUCUACUUAGUUCAAACAUGAAAGCUAUAUAAAGAUCUUUGGUUUACAAAACUGAUGCCUUAGCAGUUGGUUACCAAAUCUUUGGAAAAAAUAACUUGGCUAACAGUGACAAGUAUCAGUGAGCCGACUGUUUAAUGAACUGCACUUACUGACAGACACUGCAUACUAUAAAAGCUAUUGCGUGCUAGUGUGUUCCCAAAGUACGACAAUGUGUUUUUCAAUUUGUUUUCUUGCUGUCGUUUGUUUCAUUUAACUUUCCUGCUAAUGACAAGAUCAUUGUACUUUGUUCAAGAGGAGAUAAUUCCUUUUUUUAAAGCUCUUGCCAACAAAAGAACUCCAAACACUAUGGCACAAAAGGAUUAUGUUUAGAACAGUUUUAAAGGAAAAAGAAACACCCCAGACUAAAAGCACAAAUCUAUUUGGUGCAUUUCCACACUUUUUUUACAUGAAGUGAAAAAUUAAAAUGAAAAAUACAUACAGUUCAUCAGAACACUGGUCUGACCAAAUUCAUAAUUAACAUAUGGAAUAAACAACAGUUUUAUCAAUAUUUUAACAGGAAUACUUUAAAAAAUAAAGUAUCCUUUCAUUCAGCAGUAGAAAAAUAGAAUAAAAUCUAACUUCAAAUUAUGCAUUAGAAAUGCAAAAAGUUUGAAUGAUUAGUCUUUUAAAAUGCAAACAGGACCCCUUAUUCAUACCUAGAAUAUUCAGACAUGAUCUGACAAGCCCAGCAGAUAUGUACCCAAUCCUCUCCAGCAUCUUAGAAAAUAUUUGGCACAAGGGAAAUUCGGCGUGUCCAUUCUGUAAAUGUGGGGAGCAAGUGGGACAAACAGAAUGGUGCUUCCUUCCCAAGAGCCUUUGCCAAAGCAGGCACAGCCCUAUACCCAACAUGUAUGGACCUUGGGGAGGGAAGCAAACAGGGCACCAGGGUCCCCAGGAAGCCUGGCUAUGGUGCUGCUGCCAUUGGAGCUGAUGCUGCUACAACAGCAGCAGCAGCCCAGGGCACACAAGCCUUCCUUUCCCUUUACACACUGCCCCCCCGGCCCCCCACCCAGUUAACAGUGGUUGACAUACUCUUGUCCCCAACCCCACUCUGCUCUGGGUGCUCAAUGAGCUUACUACACCUCUGACCUUGUGGAACUCAUUGCCAAAAGAUGUUGUAGCAGUUAAUAAUUUAACCAGGUUCAAAAGAGGAUUGGAUGAAGCCAGUGUUAUUAAAAUCAGUGGCAGGUCUGCCAUGGGGUACUGAUCUAGAUGGACAUAUGUGGUCUGUAUAUCAGUAUUUAUGUUCUUAGGUCUACGUUCUCAGUGCUCCAUUAAGGUUCAUGCCCUAAUUUCAAAAUUUGAUUGUAAAAUACAAGCUCUCCACAGCUGAACCACCCAACCCACGGCACAGGGACUAUAACACUGCUCCUACCUAGUAGCUUCUCAGAGACUAGCAACCCUAAAGAAAUUAGGAUGAAGGCAGGGUGAUGGUCACUGCUGCCUACAUGGGGCAAAGCAUUUCCCUGCCUUUUACAGGUGUAAUGGUCCAUUCCACUUGCAUACCAUGGAGCUAGUAUGGGUCUGUGCCUUAAUUCAUCAUUCAAACCUAAGAAUUUUAGCUUUUCAUCACAGGCAUAUUUGAAUUAUCAGAAGUAUGUGCAGGACAUGCUUCUGAAAUUCUUAGUGAAAAAUCCUGUUGAAGGCAAGGAGAAACUUGCAGCACUGGGCCCUUAACCACAAACCAUCUAUGUUAAGCAAAGGACACAAAAGAUUUUAAUUAAAAAUGCCAAGUAUGAUGUGAGAAACGUGCAGUAUAUAGAAAAGGUACCUAGGAUAAAUACUUACAGAUUGAAACAAAUCAACUAAGAAAAUUUCAAAAUAGUUCCAAUACAUUGUAUCCCACGAGGCUAAACAAGAAAAGUAGAUGUUCCAUGGAGCGUAACUGGACUCCAUGUUUUGACCACCAGUAAAAGAGAUGAAUUGGGAAUCAGGCCAGAAUAGUUUCUAAUGCUGCAGCUCUCUAACAGGACUUUUUUUCCAAUAAGCUCUGCACAAACUGCAUAGAACCUUAGAUUCUUCUACAGGAUCACACAUAAGAGGGCCACAGUUGAAGAUAAUGGAACAGAAGUGUGGUUUGACAAAAGGGUGAGGUCUUAGAUCUACCCUGUGUAACAUUUUACUCCUUUAACAAUUAUCAGGCACAUUCAGUGCUGAGGAGAUGUGGUAGAAGAGCAGCCCUGCGGAUGAUUUAGCUAAAGAACAGGUAUCGGUAAUGGCAGCACAACUUUCUUAACAACUGCUAGAGUGAUCUAGAGCAGGGGGUGGUAACAUAUGGCCUAUGGGCCAGAUCCAGCCCAAGGAGCCUUUGGAUCUGUCCUGAGAAGCUGUGGGUUCAGCAGCACUUGGCAGCAGUGGACUGUGCCACUCUGCAGCGCAAUCAGGUGUCCAGAGUUCUUGCAAAGGGGGAACUCUCCCUGAAGCACACCAUGAGGGGUGACUGGGAGAUGCAGAGCAGGUGGCUGGGACCCAGUGCCUCUGGUCUCAAACCUAAACUGAGUAUUUUUUGGCCCCCUGCCAGGAAACACUGCUGACCCCUGAUCUACUGUUAUCACAUCUAACAACAAAGGAGCUGGAUUCAUUGUUAUUAUUUAGUCCUCAGCCUCUCCAUUGAGACUGGGAAAUAACAUUACUUGCCAACUAGAAGACACAAACCCAUGCCAGAUACAUAACCCAACACUGGCUAGCAACUUUCCAUUACUACUGGGUAAGAUUACAACCAUUAAUUUAGAACUGAAAGAGUCCACUCAACUCUCUCCCCUUGGCAAAUCCUACUCCCUACCUUAUGGCCUAUUUUUGUUGAAAAGUAACAUACAAAAAGGUCAUACCAGUGACAUGUACCAACUACAAAAUGGACUGAGAAGUAUUACACAUUUGUAUAACUAAUGAAUAGGUUAUGGCAGCUUUGCAAAGUCCAACUUACUCCCUGAAGCUAACAGAUUUAUCUUUCUGAUGGCCAGGUAUGGCACUACUUUUUUAUCACCAAUAUCUUGGUGGUAAUUGAGUACCAAAGUAGUUUUGUGUGUGGGCUAGUAAAUUCUUACAACCAUUUUGCAAGACUGGAAUACAUUCAUGUAGAGUUUUAUCAUUUGUGACAGAACUGGAUAAUAUUUUUCACUUAAUAAGUAAUCCAAGUAUGACUCAAGUAAAAAACUACUAAUGUAAGAUAAACAUCAUCUUCAUGUUAUUUAACUGUUUCAGAAUACCAUGUAGACAAGAAUACAACACAAUAGAAAUGGAGUAACAGUCUACAGCAUUUCAUAGUAGGCAGCAAAACAGCAGAAGGCAUAUCACACCAGCUUUAGUCUGAGAUAUUCCACUGCUCGAGUGGCAUGUCACAGCUCUUCUUUGCCUUACACUGUGAAUGAUUGGCAAGCCAUGUGUUAGUGCAUAUGCUGCGCUAAUUGCAAAAUGGUGUAAUGUACACUUUUCUGAAGUACUGAAUAGCACAGGUCAGUUCUGUGGAAUCUGGGGCUAAAACCAACAGAAUAAGAGUUGGAAAAAUGGGGGCAGACAUUCCAUACUGCACUCCCUGGUCAGGGGAAGGUAGACCUGCAAGGUGGCUCAAGUCCAGUCCCCUGUGUUCUUAGGGAACAAUUUGUUCAAAAGGGACGUGAGUACAUGAAUUACUACUAGCCAAUGAUUAUUCCUCAUAUAAUACUGACCAGUAGGCCUGUGUGAAUAGGGAAUAUUUGAUUCAGAUUUGGCCAAUUCAGAGG